UACAGAGGGUGCGAGCGUUAAUCGGAAUUACUGGGCGUAAAGCGUGCGUAGACGGUUUCGUAAGUCGGGUGUGAAAUCCCCCGGGCUCAACCUGGGAAUUGCAUUCGAAACUGCGAGGCUAGGGUACGGAAGAGGGAAGCGGAAUUUCUGGUGUAGCGGUGAAAUGCGUAGAUAUCAGAAGGAACAUCAGUGGCGAAAGCGGCUUCCUGGUCCAGUACCGACGUCAGGCACGAAAGCGUGGGGAGCAAACAGG
rnacentral:rRNA from 1 species